rnacentral:rRNA from 1 species
CCUACGGGAGGCUGCAGUGAGGAAUAUUGGUCAAUGGGCGGGAGCCUGAACCAGCCAAGUCGCGUGAGGGAAGACGGUCCUACGGAUUGUAAACCUCUUUUGCCGGGGAGCAACGGGGUCCUUGCGAGGGCCCGAUGAGAGUACCCGGAGAAAAAGCAUCGGCUAACUCCGUGCCAGCAGCCGCGGUAAUACGGAGGAUGCGAGCGUUAUCCGGAUUUAUUGGGUUUAAAGGGUGCGUAGGCGGAUUGAUAAGUUAGAGGUGAAAUGUCCGAGCUUAACUCGGGAACUGCCUCUAAUACUGUUGAUCUAGAGAGUAGAUGCGGUAGGCGGAAUGUAUGGUGUAGCGGUGAAAUGCUUAGAGAUCAUACAGAACACCGAUUGCGAAGGCAGCUUACCAAUCUAUAUCUGACGUUGAGGCACGAAAGCGUGGGGAGCAAACAGGAUUAGAUACCCCGGUAGUC